UCUCUCUCUUCAGAUAUGUAGUAACUGCAGUGAGGCAGGAGCAAGUGUUGGGUGUCUAGGAAAAGGGUGCUCUCUCCUGGUCCAUGUGCCGUGUGCCACCCAACUCCAGUGGACUUUGGAUCACAAUACCUUCAAAUCCCUCUGCCCCAAGCAUAGUAAGCUGACUUAGUAGUGCAGGAGGAAGCCUCAUGUAGGCAUAGUUUUACUGUCAAGAUACAAAACAUUUAUAAAUCUCAUUUUAUUUUCAAUUGUAAUAUAUUGUACAGAUAUUGUUUUGUAUUUUUGUCCAGUAUACAGUAAUAUGUAUGUUUUAUGCAGAAGACCAAGCAUUGCAAAAUUUUACCAGUCGUAAAUGUCAUUAUUAAAAAAUCUCUUGAUGAA